UACGGAGGGUGCAAGCGUUUCUCGGAAUCAUUGGGCGUAAAGAGCGUGUAGGUGGUUAGACAAGUCAGAUGUGAAAUGCCUGGGCUCAACCGAGGAAGUGCAUUUGAAACUGUCUAGCUAGAGGAUGGCAGAGGGAGGUGGAAUUCCUAGUGUAGAGGUGAAAUUCGUAGAUAUUAGGAGGAAUACCAGUGGCGAAGGCGGCCUCCUGGACCAUUCCUGACACUGAGACGCGAAAGCGUGGGGAGCAAACAGG
rnacentral:rRNA from 1 species